rnacentral:lncRNA from 1 species
UUGGGGGAAAUUUGGGAAUUUCAGGGGGAAUUUUGGGGUCCUGGGGUGGGAAUUUGGGGAAUUUUGGGGUCCUGGGGUCGGAAUUUUGGGAAUUCCCCCCCCAGCCUGGAUUUUUCUGGGAAUUCCGAACUUUUUGGGCUUUCUUUUCCCUCCUGCCCGGAAUCCCCUGCCCUGAACCCUCCCAAAAACCCCAAAAUAACCCAAAAAAAUUCCAAAAAAAUUCCAAAAAAAAUUCCCAAAAAAUUCCCAAAAAUCUCCAAAAAAUUCCCCAAAAAAUUCCCAAAAAAUUCCCAAAAAAAAUAAAAAAAAUUCCCCAAAAAAUUCCCAAAAUACCCCAAAAAAUUAAAAAAAAUUCCCAAAAAAUUCAAAAAAAAUCCCCAAAAAUUCCCCAAAAAAUUCCGAAAAAUUAAAAAAAAUUCCCAAAAAUUCCCAAAAUACCCCCAAAAAAUCCCCAAAAAUUCCCCAAAAAUUCCCAAAAAAAUCCCCAAAAAUUCCCCAAAAAAUUCCAAAAGAAAUCCCAAAAAAUUCCAAAAAAAUCCAAAAAAAUUCCCAAAAAAAUCCCAAAAAAUUCCAAAAAAAUCCCAAAAAAUUCCCCAAAAAGUUCCAAAAAAAUCCCCCAAAAAUCCCCAAAAAUUCCAAAAAAAUCCCCAAAAAUUCAAAAAAAUUGCCCAAAAAUUCCCCCAAAAAUCCCCAAAAAUUCAAAAAAAUUCCAAAAAAAUUCCCAAAAAUUCCUAAAAAAUCCCAAAAAAUCCCCCAAAAUCCCCUAAAAUUCCCCAAAAAUCUCCAAAAAUCCCCGACUUCCCCCGAAUUUCCGGAUCCAGGACCCGGUGUUCGCCCUGGAGCAGAACCUGCCCAUCGACACCCGCUACUACCUGGAGCAGCAGCUGAGCCGGCCCCUGCUGAGGAUCUUCGAGCCCAUCCUGGGCGAGGGCCGGGCCCAGGCGGUGCUGCUGCAGGGGGAACACACGCGCUGCAAAACCCUCCUGACCUCCAAAUCCGGGGGGC